CUGAAGCGUAUGUAACCUAAAGUGUAUGUAACCCAAGGUACAGAGGGUGAGCCUGGGGAAAGGCUUUGGGCCUAAAAGCCCAAAUGAGCCUUCCAGGCCUCUCUCAGCUCUCUUCCCUGAGCCACAACCCUGUUUUGUACUCUGCUCGGGUGUUUUUACCUGUCUGGAACAGUUACUUAAAAUUCUGCUCAUGCUUCUUGCACGCCUGGAAAGAGAGGAACGUGUGAGGGUGUUGAAGCUAGCCUAGUGUACAAAGUGUUGGGGCUUUAAAAAAAUAAUAAUGAUGAAGCUGGCCAUCUCCACUGCAAUGUGAGUAUCAGGAUAUACACUUCUGUGACCAGAAGGGAAGUUCACCGUCAUAAAACAUUAAAAGCAGCACUGCUGAUAUAUAGCCUACUGAACAAAGGCUCCAACUCCUGCCAGCUUCAGUUAGCGUGGUCAACAAUCAGGGAUCAUGAGAGAUGAGUACCAUCUGGAGAGUCAUAGGAUCCCCACUCCUGGGUUUGAUGUUACAGCUGUCUUCACUCUGAAUGGCCAAAGAGAGCCAUUGAUAUGGAUGGCUAGAUAUAGAGGCUGCUUUUGUUUCCCAUUGGCUCUUCCCAGAAGAUUGUGGCAGACACAGCAGCAGAACUCAAAAGCAUGUUCUGGACAGAUGUGGCAAGAAUCUCCUUUGGGCACCUGACAGAGCAUAUAUACUUGGAAGUAAGUCCCAUUGAAUGCAGGUAAGCAUGUAUAGAAUUACAACCUGAAAGUGGGCGGAAUACAGUACAGCCUUUCUUCCCUGACACAGACCUUACAUUAACCACAUGUAAAACACUGUUAUAAUGCCCAAAGUUUCCAAUACACCACAUUGGCCGCACUGGA